rnacentral:tRNA from 1 species
GAGGGUAUUGCUCAGUGGUAGAGCACAUGCUUAGCAUGCACCAGGUUCUUGGUUCAAUCCCCAGUCCCUCCA